rnacentral:tRNA from 1 species
GCGCCGUUAGCUCAGCUGGUAGAGCAGUGGCCUCUUAAGCCAACGGUCGGGGGUUCGAGUCCUUCACGGCGCAC